AACAACAACAACAACACCGCAAAGCCACCACCACCAUCUCUUCUCUUUAAUUUUUUAUGGGUUUCAUCAAAAAAAUUUUGGUUUAAUCCACCACGAACACAUGCAUGAGCAAGGUAUCUUGAGUUAGAUCUUAAAUGGAAGAAUCAAGAUGCAAGAAUAUUGAGUUUAUUUUUUUUAUUUAUAUUGUAAUUUUUUUUAUAUGUUGUAAUUGAACUACUGUAUUGAUCUAUAUUGUAAAA